rnacentral:rRNA from 1 species
AACGAACGCUGGCGGCAGGCUUAACACAUGCAAGUCGAACGCAUCCUUCGGGGUGAGUGGCAGACGGGUGAGUGACGCGUGGGAACGUGCCCUUCAGUUCGGGAUAACCCAGGGAAACUUGGGCUAAUACCGGAUACGUGCGAGAGCAGAAAGAUUUAUCGCUGAAGGAUCGGCCCGCGUCUGAUUAGCUAGUUGGUGGGGUAAUGGCCCACCAAGGCGACGAUCAGUAGCUGGUCUGAGAGGAUGAUCAGCCACAUUGGGACUGAGACACGGCCCAAACUCCUACGGGAGGCAGCAGUGGGGAAUAUUGGACGAUGGGCGCAAGCUUGAUCCAGCCAUGCAGCGUGAGUGAUGAAGGCCUUAGGGUUGUAAAGCUCUUUCGUCCGGGACGAUAAUGACGGUACCGGAAGAAGAAGCCCCGGCUAACUUCGUGCCAGCCGCCGCCGUAAAAC